AUAAGUGGAGCAGAGAGGCAGCUCGGGAUACACAGGUGUGGUUUGGACAUGCGCAGAGGAGGGAGAGUGGACAUGAUGGGCGUGACAGAGUAUAGGAUAGGGUGAGAUGGAGUAGGCGCAGCGCCCUCUGCUGGUGUCUCCAGACUUGGACCGCGGUUUCUCCUCCUGUUUGCUUCGGGUGGAAGAGAAGACUGACAGCUGACACCCAGAUGAACAUCAGCCAGUCCGGACACUGUGUCGAUGUACUGCUCCUGGAUCAUGAAGGCUGCCAGGUUGGCUGUGUAGGAAGCCAGGAAGAUGACGGCAAAGAAAGCCCAGACCAG